CAAUAAACUCUCUGCACUUAAUGUUCUACCUACAAUUAAAGUUUUUAUUUCCUAACUCUAUAGUAUAGGGAUAGAUACAGCAAUAUAUUCCUGUAAUCUAUCAGCUGUAAGCUUUGUACCCUCUAACUGGCUUCUGUAUUUGCCCAGGUGUAUGUGAGUCAGUUUUUUUAAUGGAAUUUUUAUUUUCAGCGCCAUCACCCAUCUUGUGAGCUGUUGAGGGAGAACAACCACAGGCUGCAGAGGGAAAAUUAUUCUCUUAAGGCAAAAAUAGCAACAUUGAAAUUGCUGCCAGACGUUUUGCAGAAGAUGGAGGAGUUUCUCCGCUCAGCACCAAGACCAACGACAACACCAAUACCAACACCAACACCAAGACACCAAGACCAAGACCAAGACCAGAACCAACACUAUCACCAGCACCAACAGCAGUUCCAGCACCAGUAACAGAAGACCCAUCACCAGCUCCAGGUCCAUCAUCAGCAUCAGCAACAGAGGCCCUGGGCCACUCUGUCAUUCCAAAAGGACUUGUGGAGCGCUGCUCCUUCCAAAGCCCCCAGAAGUUCAUAAAUGAUCUCCUACAUGGGAUGUAUACCAGGGAAUAUAUGACAGGCCAUUCAGUGACUGGCCAGUCACCCAGCAGCUGCACAGAAGGAAAACCUGGCCUAGCCAAACAAGACCUUGUUGAAAUAAGAAAUGCUGCAAAGUUGAAGUUCACCUACGUAACUGAUAUGAACAUAAAAGCAUUUAUACGACAAAAGCUGAACAAUGCUGCCAAUUUUCAGAAACAAUAAAUUAUCAACUGUUUAAAGAAAGUUAAA